UACGUAGGGGGCAAGCGUUGUCCGGAAUUACUGGGCGUAAAGCGCCCGUAGGCGGACCUGCAAGUCGAGGGUGAAAGCCCGAGGCUCAACCUCGGAACUGCCUUCGAUACUGCGGGUCUCGAGUCCGGGAGAGGUGAGUGGAAUUCCAGGUGUAGUGGUGAAAUACGUAGAUAUCUGGAGGAACACCGGCGGCGAAGGCGGCUCACUGGCCAUAUACUGACGCUGAAGCACGAAAGCGUGGGGAUCAACAGGA
rnacentral:rRNA from 1 species